rnacentral:rRNA from 1 species
GACGAACGCUGGCGGCGUGCUUAACACAUGCAAGUCGAACGGAAAGGCCCUGCUUGCAGGGUACUCGAGUGGCGAACGGGUGAGUAACACGUGGGUGAUCUGCCCUGCACUUCGGGAUAAGCCUGGGAAACUGGGUCUAAUACCGGAUAGGAGCCAUUUUUAGUGUGAUGGUUGGAAAGUUUUUUCGGUGUAGGAUGAGCUCGCGGCCUAUCAGCUUGUUGGUGGGGUAAUGGCCUACCAAGGCGGCGACGGGUAGCCGGCCUGAGAGGGUGGACGGCCACAUUGGGGCUGAGAUACGGCCCAGACUCCUACGGGAGGCAGCGGUGGGGAAUAUUGCACAAUGGGCGCAAGCCUGAUGCAGCGACGCCGCGUGGGGGAUGACGGCCUUCGGGUUGUAAACUCCUUUCGCUAGGGACGAAGCUUUUUGUGACGGUACCUAGAUAAGAAGCACCGGCUAACUACGUG